rnacentral:lncRNA from 1 species
UUGCAUUGUCGUCACAUCGCAUCGUCCAUCCGUCGGUCACAUCCAUCAGUCAUCACAUCUCACCUUUCCUAUUGAUUUUCUUUCUCCUCACCAGAUUUUACCACUUGAAGCAAAUCUAACGGUUCCCAUUUUAUAUAAAUAGGGACUCUCCCUUCACCAUUUCCAUUCUUCCAUCCUCUAAGAGCUUUAGAGAGAUAGAGUGAUCUAGAGAGAGGGAGAGGAGAAUAAGAAGAAAUGGCAUAGGAAACAU